AUUGAACGCUGGCGGCAGGCCUAACACAUGCAAGUCGAACGCGUGGCGGACGGGUGAGUAAUGUCUGGGACACUGCCCGAUGGAGGGGGAUAACUACUGGAAACUAUAGCUAAUACCACAUACCCUCGUGUAUGCCCAUAUGGGAUUAGCUAGUAGGUGGGGUAACGGCUCACCUAGGCGACGAGCCCUAGGUGGUCUGAGAGGAGGACCAGCCACACGGGAACUGAGACACGGUCCAGACUCCUACGGGAGGCAGCAGUGGGGAAUAUUGCACAAUGGGCGCAAGCCUGAUGCAGCCAUGCCGCGUGUAUGAAGAAGGCCGUCGGGUUGUAAAGUACUUUCAGCGGGGAGGCGUUACCCGCAGAAGAAGCACCGGCUAACUCCGUGCCAGCAGCCGCGGUAAUUC
rnacentral:rRNA from 1 species